ACUCAGAAUGACAAUUUUGUUACUAACUUAUCACACCACUUAAAUUGAGAGUUCGUUAAGAACUAAUAUAUUCUUAUUAACAUACUACUAAUAAUUUUCACUAAGCAUGAUAAUAAGGACCCCUCGUAUUCCAUGAUAAUCUAGUAUUUCUUAGCCUAAUAUAAUCUAUAUUGAUUUCACUACUUUAUUAAUAGCUUUUACAACUAUCCAACUUGAAUUGAAUGGUAACAAUUUAAAUAUUUUCCAUAAAAAAUAUGAAGGAUUAUGGAGAUCUUAUAAAUUUUAAAUCCAGCAGCGAUGGGAUAGCAAAAUAGAGCUUUUUUAAUAUCAUAGAACAGUUAAUUAUAACUUUCUGAACCAUAUAAUAGUAAGUUAAACAUAAGCGAAAUCAUAUAAGUGUAAAUUUUAAGUCACAUAAUGAUAAGAUAAAAAUAAAAAUAAACUAAGCUACAUGAAGGAAAAUUGAUAUUUACCCAAAUUAAAAAGAAGAGACUACACUUAAAAGGCUAAACACACAAAUAUUGCUACUACUCUCUCUCUCUCUCUCUCUCUCUCUCUCUAAAAUAGGGGGAAAAAACAUGUGGUAUCAAAAUUUUUCAAUGAUGGCCUCUAAUAGGCAUCAGUGGCUUGUUGUUGUGUUUACAAAUAUAUGUUUAAACCUAUUAUUAUUUGAGGGCUUUUUUUACAUAUAGUCUCCUCAAAAAAAAAAAAUGAUAAAUAAUCCUAAUAAAUUUAUUUUUCAUAUAUGAUUCUUUUUUUAUCAUGCGAGUACCACAUUGGCAAUUUUAAAUUGAAUACAGUAAUUAAAUCACCGUGUUUAAACACAGUGAUUGAAUCACCAUAUUCAUAUUCAUAUUUUAGCCCCUUCUUUUAAUUUAAGGAUAAUAAAAAAAUACAAAUAAGAACACAGUAUUCAAUCACUGUGUCCAAAUAUAAAUAUUAAAUUUACUGUGUUCAACUUAAAAAUAUUAUCUAAAUACAUAUAUGAUAAAAAAAUAAUUAUUUAUGCAAAUAUAAAUUUAUCAGGACUAUCGUGAAAAAAAGUUUGAUGGGACUAAACACAGAAAAAAGCCAUCAUUUGAAGUACUACAUCAGUAUUCAAGUGCUCUCAUUAGAAUUAGAAAAGAAGGUUCAAUUAUUGCAUAUGGGAACCAUGUCAGAUUUGCAAUUAUUUCAAUUACAGUAGUAGUUUGAAAGAGUAAUUUUAUAUAAAGAAAUAAAUUUCUCUUUUUAAUAUUAUCUCAAGGUGUGUUUGAUUGGGAUUAUUUUGGCAAGAUUGCAUGCAAUUCUAUCGAGAUCAUUGCGUUUGGUUUAUCCAGUAUGUAAUCUGGUCAGUAAUGCAGCAGUAUAAAUAGUACAGAAUUAUAUAAUAAAUAUUACUGAGUAAGUAGUGAAUAUUUCGUAUUACUAGUGGCGAGUUAUCUUACAUUAGGUAAAAUUAUAAAUUUAUCUGUCCAAACCCCCAAACAUUUUCAAUACGUCAUUUUUAAACUAUUAAUUUCAAUUUUUAAAUUGUCAAUUUUAAAUUUUAAGUUUCAAAUUUUAAAUUUUAAGUUUCAAAUUUUAAAUUUUAAAUUUUACUUUUUAAAUAUCAAAUUUUACUUUUUAAAUUUUUAAAUUCAAAUUUUAAUUUUCAAAUUUUAAAUUUGAAAUUUGGAAUUUUUAAUUUUAAAAUUUUAAAAUUUCAAGUUUCAAAUUUUAAGUUUCAAGUUUCAAUUUCAAAUAUUAAAUAUUAAAUAUUGAAUUUUAAAUUUUAAACUUCAAAUUUAGAUUUUAAAUUCUAAAUUUUGAAUUUCAAAAUUUAUAUUUAAAUUUUAAAUUUUAAAUUUUUAAAUUUUAUAUUUAUUUUAAAUUAAAAUAUUAAAACUUAUAUUUUUAUUUAGAUUUAAAAUUUAAAAUUUAAAAUUUAAAACUAAAAUGUAAAUUCAAAAUUUAAAUUAUUUAAAAUAAAAUUUAGUAAAAUUAUUAUUUGUGAUCAGCAAAAUUUUUUUUAUCAAAUAUAAAGGCAAUUCUGAAAUAGAUUAUAUUUUGUUGUUAGGAUUACUUAAUUUUAUAAACUUAACUAAAUAUAGAAAUGCUAUAUACAUUGCAAUCCAGCAUUAUAUUACUGCAUUAAAUCAGACGCGCUAAUUAACAUGAGUAGUAGUCUAAUUCAGAAAUUCAAAAUAUCUAGAUAUGUCGAAAUAAGCUGUAAUGUUACAUAACGCGAACCAAAUAAGCUGUAAUGUUAAAAAAAUCUCAUCAUUCUAUACAUAUAAUAAGAGCAAUGCUAUAGAUACACUCCAAAAUAUGGUAUAUAUCUUGCACCUACUCAGUCCCAAGAUCAUUAAUAUUCUACUUAUCACAUUAAUUUUUUUAAAUUUUUACUAAAAAUUAUUUUGAAUUUUUAUUAAUCUUAAGAUGGAGGGUGUAAAAUCUGCACCCUCUUUCUUGGGUGUUCAACAUGCAUUUUUCACAAAACAAGAUUAAUUACAUACAGAUUCUUGUAAACAUAUUGAAUGACAGAUAUAUUUCUACAAACUUUAACUUUUCAUAUUUAUUCCUGCAAAGGUCCUAACAUUUCCAAAUAUAUCUUUAUUGUUAGGACCAUUAGAAAAAUAUAGUUAACCAUAGAUAAAUACUUAAUCUUAAUUAGUGAAUGAGAUAAAUUAAUAUUUUUAUCUUUUUUAUAUUAUUUGUGAUCGUAGAAAGGAAGAGAAUGACCGUUUGAGAUUUUUGAAACGUCAUUUUCGCAUAAUUCUAACAGCCGCUUUGCUUAUUUCAUUUACAAGUAAACUUAGCUAGAAAUGUGAAUCAAUUAGGAUUUGAAUUUCGGACCUUGGCUACCAACUACCAAGCCCUGCCACUUGCGCUAGGGACUGUAGGGUUUUGGCAAAAUGUUAUUUUAUUUAUCCUCUGUUAAAUAGUAAACAGUGUGCUCUAACGACGACAAAUCAGAAGGACAAAUAUGAAUCACUAGACUUUUGUAGGAAUAACUAUGAAAAGUUAAACUUUGUAAAAUACAUUUCCUAUUCAAUAUAUUUACGAAAAAAUGUAUGAAGAGCUUCUUUUGGAAUUACGGAAAGAUUGCGUUACGUGCGGUGAGAAACGGCGAUGGAAAAAUACCAUGUUUGUUUCUAUACGUAAUAUUAUGUUCUGCAUAUUACGAUUAGUCGGUCGGUCACGAUAUAUUUUCUACGAUCCUAUCGAAAAAUACAAAAAUAUAUUACUAUAUAUUUUUUCUCAACUCCAUUCUAUCUAAUAGCGAUAAAUUUAUCUCAAUAUCAAACUAAGCCUAAUCCUACAACAAAAAUUGCAAGUGUGGGGCAUCUUUCGACUGCAUAACAACCAAAUAUAUAAAUUCUAGCCGCAAUAUUCUAACUUAGGUACAACCAAAUAAGUCAAAUAUGGCUACAUCUAUGACAUGACAUAUAAUGAAUACUUAUAUUAGUUUUUAACACGUGGCGGGGGGAGUGGGUUUGGGGGUUGCCCCCGGGUCAGGUGUACAAAAAUUUGGUAGGCAUCCUUUCCGAAACAACUUGUUUGGGGCGGAGUCCAUGAACACCGCGUGGUAUACAGACGCAUAUCACGAACACCCCUUUCCACCACCAGCUUCUUUCUCUCUCUCGCUAAAAAAUCGGAGUCUGCAUUUUUUUUUUUUUUUNCGAGGGUCGUGAUGAGCGCAGCACACUACGCUGCGCCCAUCGGCUCCACCCCCAAACAACUUGUAGUUGUUUGGGGACGGAUGCCAACCAAAUUUUUGUCCGGUUCAAGUAGGGUGGGGUGGGGUGGGGUGGGGUGGAGUGAGCUCACCCUUUUUUUUGAAUUUUUUUUAAAUUUAAUUUUUUUUAUUAUAAGAAUUUGAAAUAUAUAAUUAUUUAUACCUUAGGUACCGUUUGAUUCGGGUAUAAGCAAGAACUAGCUAUUACAGGGAUAGGUACAAGUAUGGGGAUAAAAAAAAUAGCGUUUGGAUGAAAAUUGGGUUGUUCCCGAGAAUAAGAAAAAUAUUAGGAAGUUUUAUAUAGAAAAUGGAGGUGUUGGUGGGGAUAACCGAGAACUACUAUUCUCGGGUAAGACAGUGUUUGGUUAGAGAAUAGGAAUAGGAAUAGGUCUUUAUCCACCCCCUUUAUAUCCAAACGCUAAUUUUUUAUCCGAGAAUAGUAGUUCUCGAUUAUCUCCACCAACACCUCUAUUUUCUAUAUAAAACUAUCUAAAAUUAUUCUUAUUCCCGAAAACAACCCAAUUUUCAUCCAAACAUUAUUUUUCUUAUCCCCAUGCUUGUACCUAUUUCUGUAAUAGCUAGUUUUUGCCUAUAAAACUAUUUUUUACCCAGUUUAGAUUGCAUAAAUUAAGUAUAAAUUUUAAUUUUCUAAUAUUGAUCAUUUAUAUAUAAAUUGUAUAAUAAAAAAUAAAAGAAAGAUGAAUAGAGUUUAAGUUAAUAUUUAAUAAAUUUAGUUGUAGAAAUUACAUGAAGUACUAAUUAAAUAUGUAAAACUAAACAAUAUAUUCAAAUUUUGAAGUCAAAGUAUCAUUAAGUGACUCAAAUUUAACAUAUAAAAAUGUUAGCUAGUAAAAAUAAAAUUUUGAAAGGUCUGAUAACUGAUUCAAAAUGGUUCGUAGUUCAAAAGAGUUUUGUACAUUUUUACUUUAAUUUUAAUAUCAAACCUCAAUAUCAUAUUUAUAGUCUGAUGAGUGAUUAAUUUCAUAUUUAAAAUAUUUUGGAAUAUACAAAAUAUGAUUGGUCAACUUUUAAUUUUAACAAAAAUAUAUUAGAUGGUACAGCAUGUUCUUUCCUAAAAUAAAAUUAGUAAUUGCAAAAAACCGAUCAAUGCUCAAUUCUUUCUUUGUCUAGAAUAAAAUUAAAAUAUAAAAAAGAUAAAUUACGCUUUUGAUCCUCAAACUAUAAAACACGUGAUACUCUAGUCUUCGAAUUUAAAUGGAUUAUAUUUUCUUACUCAGAGUAUGAGGCACGUGAAGCUUUAGUUCUCAAACUUUAAUGAGUUGUAAUUUCAGGCUGGAACCAUAAAGUAUAUGAUAUUUUAAUUCUCAACUUUUACUACUACUAUAAAUAUAAUUUAUUAUUCUCAUAAUUAUUUUUUUAUUUUUUAUAUUUUUAUUAUUAUAUUUUUACUAUAGCAGCUAUUUUUUUAUUUUUUUAACUUUAUUUGUUCCUACAUAAUCGAUCAACCGCAAUGCGCUGAUACCUUCACUAGUAAACCACAUGCUUCUCCAGUAGUGUCUGUAUUUCCAAUUACAUCAACUCAAAAUAAGGUUAAAGAGCUAGAAGCCUAGAAUUGGUGUUUGAUGUUCUUGGCCAAGCAGGUGAUUUAGGUGUCUCUCAAAGUGGACCACAUCUAGCACAGGUUGUCCUUCCUUGAUAGGGAGCAUCAAAGUGGCUUUAGGCAGGGAAAUUCAUUAUAGCUUCAUGUUCAUUCAUAAGUUUCUCAGUAAUUUACACUUUUAAUUCUCAAAUUAUAAGGCGCGUGAUACUUAGAUGCUCAAAUUUAAAUUUGUUAUAAGGGUCCGUGCUUUGCAGCGAAUAGAUAGUAUUUCAAUAUAUGUGAUAUUUGUACACAUAUAUAUCCGGUGCACAUAUAUACUCGGUACAGAAUAUGCUUAAUUUAAUAGACUCAUAGUUUUAAGAGAGAGAAUAAAUCUUUUCCUGCACCUAGUAUAUACUAAUGCUUCAUACAAGCAUAUUAAAUAAUUAAUAAAAUAUUUAAUAAUCAGUAGGACAACAUAAAAUAUAAUAUAAAAUACUUAAGUAAUUUAUUAUAGGAAAAACUUCAAAUACCCCCCUGUGGUUUCGCACUUUCUCACUUUAGUAGCCUGUGGUUUAAAGUGUAUCAAGUUAGUACCAUUUAGUUUCGUACUUUUUCACUUUAGUACCCUAUGGUUUAAUAAGUUGAGCAUCGAUGAGAACUUUUCAAAAGGUUUAAUAAUAAAAUCAAAGUAAAAACAUACAGAACUUUUCUAAACUACAAACUAUUUUGAAUCAGCUAUCCAACCUUUUAAAACUUUAUUUUUACUAUCUAAUCAUUUUAUAUGUUAGAUCUGAAUAAGUUAAUGAUAUUUUGAUUUCAAAAUUUGAAUAUAUAAUUUAGUUUCAUAGAUUUAAUUAGUACUUCAUGUAAUUUUUGCAACUAAAUUUAUUAAAUAAAUAGUUAACUUAAACUUCAUCUAUCACUUUUUUAUUUUUUAUUGUACAAUUUAUAUCUAAGUGAUCAAUAUUAUAAAAUUAAAAUUUAUAUUUAAUACUGGAAUCUAAACUAUUUAAAAGUACGUAUAUAUUUUAAAUUUUUUUGAUAAGGGAGAAAAUUUGAUUAAAUUUUUAGAAAAAAUCGCUUCUCAAAAUUAAUAAAAAAUAAAAAAAAAUUAAAAAUAUGAAAAAAAAAAGAUGGGCCCCACCUGCCUGGGCCUAACUCCCAUCCUUCCCGCUAAAAUUGAAAUAUACCAUCACAAAAAACUAGUGCAGGACCUGCACUUUGCAGCGAAUAAAUAGUAUUUCAAUAUAUGUGAUAUCUGUACACAUAUACAUCCGGUGCACAUAUAUACUCAGUACAGAAUAUUCUUAAUUUAAUGCACUCAUAAUUUUAAGAGAGAAAAUAAAUCUUUUCUUGCAACUGGUAUAUACUAAUGCUUUAUACAUGGUGUAAGUAUAUUAAAUAAUUAAUGAAAUAUUUAAUAAUCAGCAUAGCAACAUAAAAUAUAAUAUAAAAUACUUAAGUAAUUUAUUAUAUAAUAUAAUAUAAAUUUAUAUUUGAUACAUAGAUAUUGACAUAUUAAUGAUAUUUAAUUAAACAAUUUAAUCAUAAUAUUUGUUUAAAAAAAUAUGUGGAACAAUUGUUACGGAUUUUACUAAUUUGAAGACCAAAAGUGUAAUUAUUCCAAAUGAAAAUAAGUUGAGCAUCGAUCAGAACUUUUCAAAAGGUUUAAUAUUAAAAUCAAAGUAAAAACAUACAAAACUUUUCUAAACUACGAACUAUUUUGAAUUGGCUAUCUAACCUUUUAAAGUUUUAUUUUUACUAUCUAACCUUUUUAUAUGUUAGAUUUGAAUCAGUUAAUGAUAUUUUGACUUCAAAAUUUGAAUGUAUCAUUUAGUUUUACAGAUUUAAUUAGUACUUCAUGUAAUUUUCGCAACUAAAUUUAUUAAAUGAAUAGUUAACUUAAACUUCAUUUAUCACUUUUUUAUUUUUAUUGUACAAUUUAAAUCUAAAUGAUCAAUAUUAUAAAAUUAAAAUUUAUAUUUAAUACAUGAAAUCUAAACUAUUUAAAAGUACGUAUAUAUUUUAAAUUUUUAUGAUAAGGGAGAAAAAUUAGAUUAGAUUUCUAAAAAAAUCCACUUCUCAAAAUUAAUAAAAAAAGAAAAAUUAAAAAUUAAAAAUAUGAAAAAAAAAAAGGUGGGCCCCACCUGUCUGGGCCUACCUCCGUCCUUCCCGCUCCCCGCCCGCCCCCAGGCCCCCCGCCCUCUGUUUUGCCACGUAUACCCGAAUAGACUCAACUUUCAUGCCCUAUAAUAAAAUUGAAAUAUACCAUCAUAAAAACUAGCACAGAACCCACGUUUUGCAACGGAUAAAUAGUAUUUCAACAUAUGUGAUAUCUGUACACAUAUACAUCCAGUGCACAUAUAUACUCAAUACAGAAUAUUCUUAAUUUAAUGCACUCAUAGUUUUAAGAGAGAAAAUAAAUCUUUUCUGCACGUAUACCUGAACAAACUCAACUUUCAUACAUUUAUAGAUGACAUAAAAGUAAUAUAUAUAUAUAUAUAGAGAAAGAGAGAGAGAGAGAGAGAGAGAGAAGAGUCCUGCUGGGAUACUAUCGAUAGCACGAAGCAAUUGGUGCUAUCAAGUUUUCUGCCGUUAGAUUUAUCUCUUUUAUCAUUUUUAUCCGUUCGAUUAUACUAUUCAACUAACCUCCCACUCAACCCUACGGAGCUCACAUCUCCCUAAUCACACAUCUUUUAAUCCAAGGGUAGAAAACUUAAUAGCACUAAGUCAUUGGUGCUAUUAAUAGUAUUCCAGCCUAGUUCUAUAUAUAUAUAUAUAUACAUAUAUACAAAUAAAUAAAAUGAGAGUCUAAAAGGAGCCCUCCCCGCGUUUGGGGGGUCCGGUGGGGCCCACCAGCGAGGAGCCAAGGCGCGGUCACGGGCUCGGGCAGGCAAAGGUGUGGGUAGCGUUUAACGAGCCGAAACGACGAACGGGUCGCUCUGUUCCGCUACAUUUAAAACACGAACAGUGUCUUCUCGGUUCACUGCUGAGAUCUGAGCGAAAAAUUCAGGCUCGCGUUCACUGGGAGCUUGGCUCACGAGCUGCUAACGAACAUAAAUUAAAAAAAAUAUAGAUUAAAUAUAUAUAAAAGAUAAAUUAUACUUAUCCAUUAAGAACUUUGAUCUAAAUGUUAAAAGCUUACAUAUAAUAGUUUUUUAAUAACUAAACUUGCAUUAAUAUUUAUUCUUUGUUAAAAUAAAUAAUAAAAAUAAUACUAUUAUUAUUUAUUUAUUUAUAUUAAAAAUAUAAUUAAUAAAAUUAUAUAAUAAUAUACUAUAUGUAUUCAACUGUUUUCUAGAGCAGGGAACACGAGCGAGCUGACCCAGCUCGUGUUCCGUCUCUUUAUUAACCGAACUGAAAAAUCGCAGCCUCGUGUUCGGCUCGUAUAAAUGAGCAGCUGAUCUCGAGCUCAAUUGAGCCGAACACCGAGCUGGCUCGGCGAACAGCUACUCAUUGCCACGCCUAGGUGCGGGCACGGGCGGGCACGGGAAUAGGCGCGGGCGCGAGCCGGGGUGGGCCUGAGGCGUGGGUGGCAAGAGGGCCCGCGCGGGUGCAAACCGGGGCAGGCGUCGGGCGGGGUGCGCGAGCCGGCGCGGGCCAGGCGCGAGCCGGCACGGGGCAGGCACGGUGAGGUCGUGUUUUUUUUGCCUUUUUCAUUUAAUUUUUCCUCUCUGCUUGCUCCUUGCCUCUCUCUCUCUCUCUCUCUCUCUCUCUCUCUCUCUCUCUCUCCGAUAUCCCCAUGCGGAUCCGCCGGGAUCCGCGGCACGAUCUUCAUCGGUAAGGGAUCUGGCGUGGAUCUUUUUCUCCUCCUUCCCCUCCCCAUCGCGCGAUCGGCCCGGAUAAAGAUUGAUGGCUCUUUUUUUUUUCUUUUAUACUUAUAAAUUCCAACAGUCGUUUGUUAUUAUUAUUCCUUUCGUUUUUAUCCUCAUUUUUUUAGGAUCGCUGACCAAAUUUUUUUAUUUUAGCAUUUGUGAAAUAUUAUAUCAGAAAUUUUAUUUACAUAUUAUAAAAUUUAUAAUUAAAUAUUUGUGUCAAAAUUAUCCACGAUGAAGCGCGGGUACUACAGUCGUAUAUAUAUAGUAAGGCGACUAUAUUCUUAUAAGUAUAGAGCUUUUCGUACUUAUAAGUUAUUUUUGAUGUUGGGGCUUUCGAAUUGACGAUCCACACCGUUAAACAUGAUCUAAAGAAUUUGAAACUUUCAAAAAAUCAAUUUCGUAAUUUUUCGAAAUCAUUAUAAAGUUCAUCAAGCGCGUAUAAAAUGAACGGUCAAAAUUGAACGACAUCCUAAAAAUGGAUGAUCAGAUUCUUCAAUAAGAUUGGAGUUAUUGAUCUUUAUCUAGGAAAUGAAUAGAAUUUUCUAUAAAAAAUUCAACAUAUUUCGAUUCUUUUACCGGCCAUUAAAAAUUUUCAAUUUUGUGAGCUUUUGAUCAUAAGGUAAAUGAUAUCGAAAAAUUAUAAAAUUUGAUUUCUAGACGUUUUAAAUGCGCUAGAUAAUGUUUAACGGUAUGGAUCGUCGAUUCAGAAGCUCUAUCAUCGAAAACAACUUAUAAGUACGAAGGUGAUUGUACUCAUAAGAGUAUAGUAACCGGACUCUCUCUCUCUCUCUCUCUCUCUCUCUCUCUCUCUCUCUCUCUCUCUCUCUAUAUAUAUAUAUAUAUAUAUAGAGUUGAGCUAAAAUACUAUCGAUAGCAAAUGAGCUCCGUUGCCAUCCAUUUAUUUUUGAUGAUGGAGCAUCCAAAUCGACGAUCAGCACCGUUGAACAUGAUCUAUACCACUUGAAAUGUUUAGAAAUCAAAUUUCAUACAUUUUCGAUAUUGUUCUCUUAUCCAUCGAGUGGAUAUAAAAAUGAACGGUUGAAAAUGAAUAUUCUUUAAAAACUGAUGAUAGGAGUCUUGUAAUCAAGAUCAAGAGUAUAGAUCUUGUUUUAAAUAGUUUAAGAAUUUUCUAACAAAAAUUCAAUUGAUUUGAAUAUCUUUACGCCGUUAACCGAGAAAACGUAUCAUAUCGACCAUUAAAAUUACAAAUGUUGAAACCUUUUGAUCAUUAGGCAAAUGAUGUCGAAAAGAUUUGAAAUUUGAUUUCUAAAUACUUCAAGUGGUAUAGAUCAUGUUCAACAGUGCCGAUCGUCGAUUUGGAGGCUCUAUCAUAAAAAACAAAUGGGUGGCAACAGAGCUCGUUUGCUAUCGAUAGUAUUCUAGCUCAACUAUAUAUAUAUAUAUAUAUAUAUAUAGAGUGAGGCUACUAUGCUAUCGGAAGCACGGAGCCUUCCGUGCUUCCAGCUCGUUUUCAAUGUUGCAACUUUCAAAUCGUCGAUCGGCUCCGUUAAACUUGAUCUAGAGUAUUUGGAGUACCUAGAAAAUAAAUUUUAUUAUUUUUCGAUAUCAUUUGCCUAGUGAUCGAAUAGGCUCAAAAUCAACAAAUUAAUGGCCGUAUGAGCCGUUGCAAGUAUUGAAUGGAUGUACGAAUACCAAAUCACUUGUGAAAUUUGAUAGAAAAUACUUUAUACUAUAUAAAAAAAAGAAAAAAAAAACAAAUAUAUCUUGAUUUAAAAUUAAUGUCAUAUAUUACAUUGAAAUUUUUAUUUCCAGCCGUUGAUUUAGCCCCUAUCGUAUCACCUAGGCAAAUGAUAAUCGUAAAAAUCCAUAAAAUUAUAAUUCACUAGGUACUUGUCAAUACUCUAUGAUCGAAGUUUAACGGAGCCGAUCGUCGAUUCGAAAGUCGCAACAUCGAAAAUGAGCUGGAAGCACGGAAGGCUCCGUGCUUCCGAUAGCAUAGUAGCCUCACUCUAUAUAUAUAUAUAUAUAUAUAUAUAUAUAUAUAAUUGAGCUCCUAUGCUUUUAAAAGUACCAAGUCAUUCGUACUUGUAAGUUUUAGGCCCUUGGAUUAAAGGAUGUGCGGUUAGGAUGAUGUGGGCCCCCUAGAGUUGAGUGGGUGGUUGGUUGAAUAAUAUAAUCUAACAGAUAAAAAUGAUCAAAGGCGGAGAUCUAACGGUAAAAAAUUUACAAGCACCAAGUGCUUGAUACUUUUACAAGCGCCAUAGCCGGACUCUCUCUCUCUCUAUAUAUAUAUAUAGUUGAGCUAGAAUACUCUCAAAAGCAUCAUGGGGGUGGUGCUUUUGAGUUUUUAGCCAUUGGAUGGAAAGAUGUGAGGUUGAGAUGAUGGUGGUAGGUGGUGGUAGGUGGUGGUAGUGUUUGAUCCAAGGGCUAUUAGUAAUCAAGAAGUAGAUCCAAUGGCUAAAAACCUAACAGCACCAUGGGGGUGAUACUUGUAAAAGUAUUCUAGCUCAAUUAUAUAUAUAUAGUAGGUCUUGUGUAGUAUUCUUAGUUUUUGGGUUGCCUGCGAGAUUUCAGCAUCUGAGGCUUGUCGACACAUCUGGAAAGUGUCGGGACAAGUCAGAGUCAUUUUGGCGCGAAAUAAACGCAAAACGGACUCAGUGCGAUGCGAAAGCAGAGUUUUAACAUUGAAAUCUGUAAAGUGCAGGUUUUCAGUGUUGAGUACCGGUACCCCAGUGUAAUUCCAAACAGAUUGCUCUCGGGUUGCGCCAAUUUGAUGCUGAGUACCGAUACGGCAUCGGGCUAGUACCGGUACCCUGUGUGCGAGCUUGUGGGUUGAGAGGCCAUUUGAGUUGGUAGAAGAUAUUGUAGUCUUUAUUGAGUUGGUGAGGGGUAUUAUAGUCAUUGUGUUGGAUAAGAUUGCCACCGAAGCUUCCAUAUCCUUAUCAACUUAAUUAGCUGAGAGCUUCUCCUUUUCCCUUUAAUUUAGCUCGUGUGCAGGGUAAAGAGCUCGAGCUCGGGAGAUUUUCGUUGUCGUUUCGGAGGGCCGUUCGAGCGUGCGUGCGUCGUGGUAGCACCGUUGGAGGCCGGGCGAGCGCGUGUUUUCCUCUCCUUCUGACUUCUCGCCGUCGUUGGAUUAGCUUUGCGAGGUGGGUUAAUGAUAUGCUUACCGGAUUCUACGGAUUUCCUCCUAAGCCUAGUUGAUGUCAGCAUAUAUAUUUUUAGUCUUUGUAUAUCAUAUUGUUUAGCUCGAAUUUGUUGAUUUGCAUGCUAAUUAAAAUCUGAAUUUGGAGUAUACAGUAGUGAUUAGAUAAAUUAUACAUAUUGGACUUGAAAAUUGACUUAGUAGAAACUAUCAAUUCUACACCGUCAUUUUUUGAAACUACCAGAUUUAGCUCUAGGAGCCGUAGUUUGUUUGUAUCGUCGCAAUUUAUGGGCGGUAGAUAUCCAGAAUAGUGUAGAAUGAUUUUACGCUUGUGCUGGGAUGCCGAGAUUAAUUUUUACAGUAGUAUAUAGAUUGUUCCGGACUGUCGGGUGCCGUUGUGGUUGACGGUGGACCCAGUUUGCAGUUUUUGUAUCGGAUUGUGCCAAGGGCACGUAGAUUAUGGUUGUUAGACCAGUUAAACCUUUCUACUUUGUUUAUAGCCUGCGAGAGCCUGAAUGAACGUGGCAGAGACACUUGUAAACUCGGUUGGGUCGCGCCCACGAAUGCCAUUCCGGAAUGAGGUUUCAGUGCGAUGAGGUCGCAGUUUCUGUUUGGACAGUUCUUGAGCCGGCCACCCUCGUGGUGGUGUACAGCGUAGCUGGAUAUAGGCAGGAUAGGUCCGUUUGGGCAGCCCGGGUAAGACAGUUAGUGACGUCUUUCUCUAACUUCAGUGAGAUUGUGACGUGAGUGGAGUCACUGCCGUCCUGUCGAACCUUGGUACUUAGACCGACUACUUUUGAGCUACGGUGUAGCCUAGUUGAGCGGGACGGGUGUAUUCACAGUCCUUAGAGAGUUUUCUCCACAGGCUACUCUUGGGGUUGGUAUGCGGGUUCGCUUCGACAAGCAGGACGGGUGUGUUCACAGUCCCUAAUGAGAUUGGGUCAGGAUUUACAUUUUCUACAGAUAGUUAGUGUUGGAUCACGAUAGUAUAGUAGCAUAUAGCUGUAGAUUUGUUUCAGCUUGCUCUACUAUCCUUGCUUACCUCUGUAGACUUAGUGGGUGAGCCGUUGAGGUCGGUAGCGGUACCCACUAAGGACUACUUCUUUUUGCAGUAGUUCUUAUACCCAGUUGUGGGCCCUUUUUACAGAGCCCUCUUCUUCUGCUGCUGCUGUUGCGGAUACUAAUUGUGGAAAGAAAGUCGCGAGCUAGAUCCCUUCCCGUUUUGCUGCUGAUCUAGAGUAUGCCAACUACAGAUAGUUUUGGUUCUGGGUUCUUAUACAUACUGAUGUUAGUACCUCACCGGAGCGAGUGUUUUGUAUCAGGAUACUAUGUAUGUAUGUGGAACCGAUGUUAUUUAUAUAUGCAUUUCUUUUUAGCAGCUCUAUAUUACUGGUUGUAGUAUUGUAUGAUUACAGAUACAGGUACAACUAUCGCUUCAUAUGCAGAAAAAAUUUCUAUGUAUACGGCGGGUCUGUUAGCGUGCCCGGAAAAACGAGUAAUCCAGGGCGUGACAUCUUGUGUGCUAUUAGGAGCACGGAGGCCUCCGUACUCCCAAGCCGUUUUCAAUGAUAGAGCUUCCGAAUCGACGAUCGGCUCAGUUAAACUUGAUCUGGUAUAUUUGAACUAUCUAGAAAAUAAUUUUUGUAAUUUUUCUGUAUCAUUUUCAUAACGAUCGAAAGGGUUCAAAAUCAACAAUUUUUAAUGGUUAAUGUAUACCGUUUUCAAGUUUAACGGUGUAGAAGUAUUCAAAUCAGAUGCAAUUUUGAUAGAAAAUUCUUUAUACUAUUAACAGGAAGAUCAAUAUGUUUGAUCGAAAAUUUUAAUGUUAUAUCACCAUUUUUGUGAGAUUUUUAUUUUCAGCCGUUAGAUUUUGAACCCUUUUGAUCGUUAGGUAAAUAAUAUCGAAAAGUCACAAAAUUUAUUUUCUAAAUACCUCAAAUAUGCAUACUUCAAAUAUGCUAGAUCAAGUCUAACGGAGCCAAUUGUCGAUUCGGAAGCUCUAUCAUCGAAAACGGCUUAGGAGCACGGAGGCCUCCGUGCUCCUAAUAGCACACAAGACCUACUCUAUAUAUAUAUAUAUAUAAUUUUAUUUUAUUUUUUUGUAAAUAUAUUGUUAUAUAAUACUUUAUUUAUAAAUAUAUAAUAAUUUAUUUUGGGAACCAACAAAAAUAGUGCUUUUAUUUCAAUUAAUUUUUUAUUUUUAGAGACUUUAGGGACCAAAAAUAGUACCUAAGUUUUCUUUUGCAUAACAAUUUUGGUCACUAAAAUUUGUAAAUUUUUCACUUUAGUCCCCAAAUAUAAAAAUUCAAAAUUUUAAAUUUAAAUCCAGAAUUAAUUUUGAAAUUAAAAUUUUGAACUAAUUAAUUAGUAAUUAGAAUUUUGAAUUAUAAUUUGAAUUCAAAUUUUAAAUUGAAUUUUAAAUUGAAUCUAAAUUUUGAUUUCAAACUUAAAUUUUGUAAAUUUUGAUUUAAAACUUUAAUUUUUUUUAUUUUGAUUUUGAUAUUGUAAUUUGCAUUCAAAAUUAAAAUUUUAAUUUAAAGUAAUAUUAAUAGUUAUAAUAAUUUACUAUUGUAUUAUCUUCCCACCGUAUCGAACUUAUUAAUCGGGAACUCUUACAGGUUCGAACUGCUCUCCGCAUCCCACGAAAGGUAUGCGAUAAAUAAUAUUUAAAAAUAUUAAUGUAUAAUAGAAAAAAAAAAGGUGAUAUUAAUAGUUAUAAUAAUUUACUGUUAUAUUGUCUUUUCGUUGCAUCGCGCCCGCCGCAUUNUUCAAAAAAAAAAUCAAAUUUGACUUUAGUAAUAAAAAAAAAAAGAUUAGAGAGUGCCUGCUGCUGGAUAAGUGGCUAGUAUUGCUUUAGAUUUCAUUUUUUUGCUGAUUUGUAAUAUCUCAAUGGUUCUUCAGAUUUUUUUUAUUAAAAAUAUUUAAAUUAUUAUCAUUCAAGUCAAGUUGGAUAAUUAUAAAAUUUUUUAUUGAAGUAGUACAAUUACUGUAGAUUCUUAGGUGAUAGGAAUACUAAAUUAUUAUGGAUUAGGAGAUAUUUUAUUUUCAUAUUUGACGGAAAUUAUUAGUAGUCAAUUAAUAAGAAUACAAGUCAAGUUAGAUAAUUGUAAAGAUUUUCGUUGCAGUAGUGAAAUUAUUAUAGAUUCUUAGAUGAUAGGAAUACUAAAUUAUUAUGGAUUUGAAGAUAUUUCAUUUUCAUAUUUGAUGAAAAUCAUUAGUAGUCAAUUAAUAAGAAUAUAUAUACUAAUUUUUAACAAACUUUGGACCAAAGUGACUUAAUAAAUUAGUAACAAACUUGCUAUUUCAUGUAUAAAAUAUAUAAUACUUUUUAAAAUAAUAUAAAUUUUGAACUAAACAAACUCUAAAAAUUAGCAUCCUUACUUAAUAUUCUAUUCUAAAUAUAUUUUCACUUCGUUCUUAAAAUGCAUCUGUAUUUUAAAUGGACAGUCAAAUUGAUUCAUGCAGGCCCGAACUGCUGCUUGCACAAAACAUAGGGAUACAAACUGGGUGAAUCUUGUAACGCCCCCAAUAGUGCCACAUCGGAUGGGAUACUGAUUCCGAUAAGUUUAUAUGAGGCCUACACGUUAGUAAUAAUAACUGGGCUUAAGUAUUUUUGGGCCGGUGGUUUGGGCCCAACGAGUUAUUAUUGCUAGCCGGUCGGAUCGUUAUAAUUGGUAUCAGAGCCGAAUACCAGCCGGAAGUGUGAGAACUAAGUGCUAUGCGGGACAAAGUGAUCUGGUUUGGACCCGACGAGGACGUCAGGGUCUAAAUAGGGGAAGUUUGUAACGCCCCCAAUAGUCCCACAUCGGAUGGGAUACUGAUUCCGAUAAAUUUAUAUGAGGUCUACACGCUAGUAAUAAUAACUGGGCUUAAGUAUUUUUGGGCCGGUGGUUUGGGCCCAACGAGUUAUUUUUGCUAGCCGGUCGGGUCGUUACAAAUCUGUGGUUAGAUUGGGACAGAUUCGGGGCGUGUUAAUUUUAAUCUUAUUUUUUGUGAAUUUUUGACGAAUUGGAAGCAAAUCAAAGAAGAAAAGAAUCUUCCGCCUCCUACUCUAUUUACCUGACGAAUGAAUAUAUACAUUUUUUUUGAGAGAUAGGUAGCACGCUACCCGCUUCGUUUAUUUCAUUUAGAAAUAAACUUAGCUAGAAAUAUGAAUCAACUAGGAUUCGAACUAGAAUAUAUUUUUUAAUAUUUUUUGUUUCUAUUUACAUCUCCAUUCUAGUAGCUCCAUCAACCCGAAUCCAUUUGUAGCCGUAAGGGUCUGUUUGUUUUACCUCAAACUGGACUUUGCAUUGAAAUGGAAUUCUGUAAAAACUAUUUAUCCCCUGUUUAUUUCAUAGCUAUGGAAGUGAAGUUCCUUCAGUUCUGUUAUUUGUUUGGCAUAAAGUGAAUAAUAUAAAACUAUAAUGUAUAUAUAAAUAAUAAAUAAUUUAAUAAAUAAUAAAUUAUAAUAUAAUAAAUAAAAAUAAUAUAAUUAUUUUCCUAUAUAAUUAAAAAAAUUAAUCUAAAAGAACUAAAUUAUUUUUUAUACAUAAAGUAUAAUAAUACAAUAAUAAAAUUAUAAAGUAAAAAAAAAAUUAUAGAUACAUAGCAAAUCAAUUUUCAUCAUAUUUUAAAUGUACAAACUAAAUAAGAAAAUAAUAAAACUUAAUAAAUUAUAUUUUAAAUAUACAAACUAAAUAAAAGAGUAAUUAAUGCCAUAAUUAAAUAUACUUAAAUAUAUUGCUCAAUGUAUUAUUUUAUAUAUUUUUUUUCAUCCUUAUUUACCGCAUUCAGAUAACUUUCGAUCGUAUCUUUGAUACGGCAAAAUAAACAACGUAAAUAAUCAUUUACGGCUCGAAAUGACUUCACUAGUCUUUACUUUCAUCCAAAAGACAUGCUCUAGUGGAAGGGUAAAUUUAUACACAGUUCUUACUUGUAUCCGAACCAAACGCAACCGGCGUCAUUUUGUAUCCAAAAAAAAAAAAAAAAAAAAANGAAAAAGAAGAGGAAUCUAGUCAAAGGGCAAAUUUGUAAAUUUGCAAGGCCACAACCACACAAUCUCAUAUAUCUUUUAUUACCUCAAGCUGAGCUCACCGAUCUCUCUAUUCCCCACCCACAUCAUGUUCCUCUGUUGUGUAAAGUGGGAACUCUCUCUCUCUCCUCCACUCUCUACUCUCU
rnacentral:lncRNA from 1 species